ACCAAUGCACAAGUAUUUGUCGUUGUAUGAUGGAAACCAGAUGCCAUCAUGCUUAUAACAUAUUUUUGAAUUAAAAGAAUAAUUUGAUCAUUGUGUCUAUAUUUUAUGAUUUCGUGUCAACGCACUGGCAUUUGGCUUCAGCCCAUCAAUUAGACCAGCUAGGUCUACGCACACUCCAGUUUGGUAUUUAAGCUAUUAAUUCUUGGAUGAGUGUGUUUGUAGGCGAGAAGGGAAAUAUGUUACUCUGCAAAUUCCAAGUCUUUUAUCAUGACUAUUAUUACACGUCAAACAUGGAGUAAUGAGAGCGUGAGUGUGUUUUGAAUUCUUAAUUGGUAAAUUCUGGUGAUUAACUGACCGGAGAUUCAGUUUGGAUAGCUACCCAGGGGUAUGAGUGUGAUCAGUGUGACUAAUUGUGAUUUGUUUAGUGGUGAAAAUGUAGGAAUUAAUUUGUUUCACCAAUUCUGCACUUGCAUUUGGCCAUAGAAUUUAGUUGGGGUAGCAUAUGCCCAGAAUUUAAUUAACCACAAUUUUGAGAAAUUUUUGGAAGUUGUUUAUUUGUUUUAUUAAACAUGGUCGAAUUUUCUUAUAAUUGCAGGUAUUUGGUUCAAAAUAUAUUUUUCUACUGUUAACCGAUAGCAUGGAUAUCACUAUUCAUCAUGAUGUCCAUAAGAAAUCAUCAUGACAUGUCGAAUCCUCAACCACUCAGUUAGAUGUUGAUGGAUCUGCAUCACAGCUUCUGUUGAAUUCUCAUGGUUGGAGAUACUGCAAGAAUUCUGAUUCGGCACGGCCCUCAUGGAGACAAUGGAGAUGGUGUUCAGCGGUGCGCUCAGCCAGAGUUCGCCGUACGUCCGACAUUUGCUGAUUCGGCAGGGCCCUCAUGGAAACAAAUUCAGGGCGCAGAGAAACUAAUGGAGCAACCAGGAGUCCAAUCAUUUGAAGGCAGAACAUUGAACAUAUCAGUGAUCGGACACUCGAGACAACUCUUAAUGAGUUCUAGCAACCGAAGACAGAAUAUUUGUGUAGGAUGCAACAAAGUUGCAUGUCAUGAGAUUAUUGAAUACGUUGAGUAAUUUGGAAUGGAAACAUUUUUGGUUAAAUAGGAUGCUCUUGAGAUUAUUUCUCAUGCCAACAUGGCAUGCCCGAGCGAAAAAUGUGUCACCCUUUGA